UACGUAGGGUGCAAGCGUUGUCCGGAAUUAUUGGGCGUAAAGAGCUCGUAGGCGGUUCAGCAAGUCGGGUGUGAAACCUCCAGGCUCAACCUGGAGACGCCACCCGAUACUGCUGUGACUUGAGUCCGGUAGGGGACCACGGAAUUCCUGGUGUGAGCGGUGGAAGUACGCAGAUAUCAGGAGGAACACCGGUGGCGAAGGCGGUGGUCUGGGCCGGAACUGACGCUGAGGAGCGAAAGCGUGGGGAGCGAACAGG
rnacentral:rRNA from 1 species